UGUAUGGGACUCGAGUGCAUCCUGAAACCGAGCAGGCGAUUAUUAAUGCUGUUACCCAAAAUCCGCAAGGUUCAACCAGACAAUUUUCCCGUGAAUUGAAUAUGCCAAGUACCCGUAUCCACAGAGUAUUGAGAAAAAAUCGCUAUCGCCCCUAUAAACUUCAUAUCAGUCAAGAACUUAGGCAUGGAGAUACCGAUAGAAGGCUUCAGUUUUGCAAUUGGUUGAACGAAAAACUGCAAGAUGAAGACUU